GAGCUAUGAAGAAACUUGGCUUAAGCGAUGGUUGGGUCCUUCGCAUUCAUCUGAUAUCCAGACGAUAUAUAGCCGUAAUCCUGAGCUC